UUCGGAGAUGCAUCUCCAAAAAUAUCUGACAUGCAAAGGUGACAUAAAAUUUCAAAAUUCCGCCCAUGAUUUCGGAGAUGCAUUUUUGAAAUUUCUACUGAACUGGUAAAUACAUAAGGUAUUUCUUAAAAUAUUCCGGAGAUGCAUCUCCGAAAUAAAAUAAAUAAAACAAUUGGGCAUCACUCUAAAUGGUCUCACUUUAGUGUGUGUUGGGGUGCGUUUGGAGAUGCAUCUCCAUAAAUAUGGGGUAUUUUUGGAAAUUUGCAUGGUUCGGUAGAAACUUAUAGGGUGCGCUAAGAAAUGCUCUCAAAAUAUAGGGUCAAAAUAAUAUUCAUUUAACAUGGGGUCUAACAAAAGGGGGCUAAGUAGGGGGCCUAUUUAUCGGGGCUUUGUCAUAUAGGUUUUUUUUACACCUCUACCCAUUGAUAACAGAUUCUUGUUGAAAAUUGAGUGUGAUGAAAAACGUGAUAAAAACUGAUUGUCUUUAAGUUAUAGGAAAUUGAAAUGAUAAAAAAAAGAAAAUGAAAGAAAAGUUGGGUUGAAAAACAUAAUCUCUC
rnacentral:lncRNA from 1 species